UCCUUCGGGUGCGUUAAUGGGCGUCGAGCGGCGGACGGGUGAGUAAUGCCUAGGAAAUUGCCUUGAUGUGGGGGAUAACCAUUGGAAACGAUGGCUAAUACCGCAUGAUGCCUACGGGCCAAAGAGGGGGACCUUCGGGCCUCUCGCGUCAAGAUAUGCCUAGGUGGGAUUAGCUAGUUGGUGAGGUAAUGGCUCACCAAGGCGACGAUCCCUAGCUGGUCUGAGAGGAUGAUCAGCCACACUGGAACUGAGACACGGUCCAGACUCCUACGGGAGGCAGCAGUGGGGAAUAUUGCACAAUGGGCGCAAGCCUGAUGCAGCCAUGCCGCGUGUAUGAAGAAGGCCUUCGGGUUGUAAAGUACUUUCAGUUGUGAGGAAGGGGGUGUUGUUAAUAGCACCAUCUCUUGACGUUAGCAACAGAAGAAGCACCGGCUAACUCCGUGCCAGCAGCCGCGGUAAUACGGAGGGUGCGAGCGU
rnacentral:rRNA from 1 species